ensembl:lncRNA
UCUUCACUUUGUGUCACACAGAAUGGCUGAUUUGAUUAAGUCCCCAACUCUCAUUAUGCUAGGUAGGGGUGUAGAAUUUCAAUGAUAAUCCAUAAUGCAUGACCAGUUUGUUGCCAUGGCAACAUAAAUUCAAGGUUACUAGCUCAGACGCAUAAUUGGGUGUGCAUUGAGUGCUGAAGAAGGGCUGUUAAAAUUCUUGUCAUAGAAGAGUAGCAUCCAUCAUACUGUCUGAAAUUGCAAAGUACUCAUAAUCAGAAAGAAAAAUCCUUGGAGAAAAAUGUUAAUAAAAUAACGAUUACAUCUAAUAUCAUUGUUUAAGUUUAAAAAACCAAAGUGGUUAAAGUAUUUUAGUUAAUAAGAAUGGAAAAGGCAACUCAUUAAACACAGAAGACUUCAGUUGAACAUGCCCCACCCCCCAAUAUUUGCAUUGUAAGAUGGACUCAGAGCAGCUCAGCUCUGAAUCUGCCUGAUUAGCUUGGGAUCUAAUCCAUAUGAUACAGUAAAAGAUGACGCUUCGCACGCAGACGGCACAGUCUUAUAGCCAUCGUUUGUCCAGUUUGAUCAUGUGUGGGUAAACACAGCUUUAAAAUUAGCUGCACCAAAGAUAAGAGAAAUUUGCAUGCUGAUUUUUUUUUUUUUAAUUUUUUAGUUGUUGCCCUGAAUUAUUGCACUAUACAGCAGCCAUUUUAACUACCCAAGAUGAAAUAGAUGAAAAUAGAGCCAGUGUUUAUGUGUGAAAUAUAAAAUACUCUCCAAUGUUAUCCAACCAGAGAAAAAAACCAAAAUGCAACGAAGAGGGAAACAAAUGUAUAGGAGAAAAAAGAAAGAAAGAAAGAAAGAAAAAAAAAAAAAAAAAAAAAAGGAAUAGGUGAAUGCAGUUUCUUGAGGUGACUUAUCGUCAGACUAAACAGAUGUGCACAAGGAGUCUUCGUUAGCAAGCCCUACAUGCAGACCGUUCUUCCACUGUGCAGAGCAGCAUCUCCAUUCAAAUCUGAAUCUGAGCCAUGCUCCAUUCUUCUUGUAACUCAGUUUUUAUUUAUAUCAUGAGCUAGAUUGUCUUGAGUGGCAUAAUUAUACCAUUAUAUUAUCAAUGGAAUUUACAUUAUCAAUGCAUUUUAAUUAUCAUUAAAUAUCUCAGUCUCUUUUGAUCUGGAGUAAGUCCAAAGUGUUCAAAUGAAAUAUUCCAGCACUUCUUUUUUGCUGAUGCAUUCAGGGUCAUGACCCAACUCUAAAAUGGAUGGUUUCAACCCCGGACAGAUUAAAUAGAAAGGAGAAGAAGGAAAUAAUUCACUUGGAAGCUGGUAGUAUUUUACUCAGUGAGAGCCAAACUAGAGAUAGUUAUAUAAAUACCUCUAAUUUUAAUAUUGAUUAGCAAAGUUCUAAAAGAAAGCACUUUAUUUGGUGAAUAUGUCUAUUUCAUUCUUCUCUUAGACCUUCUUAUUUAAAAUGAAAAUUUUACAUUUUCCUUUUUGUUACAAAAGACUUGAAACAAUCAUUGUGCUUUAAUGUAAUUGAAUUAUUCUAAGUUUAUGGUCUAAGGUCUCGUUCUACUACUAGUACUGAGAGACUGAUUGUCUGUUUCUGAAAUGUGUAAGUGUACUCCAAAAAGUGUUGCUUUUGAUUCCUCUCUUACAGAUUAUUACUGUGGCGGUUGAACUUCAGAAGAAGUAUCUUUUUCCUGUCUCUUCCCAACUAGGGACAGAGACCUGAAUAUGAAAAGCAGUCAAAAAGAUGAUAUUACAGCUCCAUCUACACAGCUUCACCCUGCACUCAGAGCCAUAUUUAAGCACUCUCUCUGAGAAAAUACUCAUAGCACGUUAGAAGCUCUGAGAGUACUGCAGGCAGAUUUUGUGCCUGUCCCUGUUUCCUUGAAUUGGAGUGGGCUGCUAACAGGAAAAUUUCAUUUCCUUUUCGUUACGCAGCUGUUGGCUGUCUGAGAUUGCUGAUACAGUGAGGAUAUGGGCAGAGAUGUCUCAGUGAGACCUGGAGAGAUUGCUAACAGGAUUUAUGCAUUAUCAGAAGAUCACUGAAUAUCAAGAGUAAGGAAAGAACACACAUAUAUAUAUUUGCAAAUGUUGGCUGUACUAUCGGCUUCAAAGAGAGUUAACCAGGUCUGUGGUCAGUUUUCUUGAUAUUUCAUCUAGAUUUCUCACAAAAAUAUAACGAUAUAUAUUGAGCAUAUAAUGAUGAUUAGAGAUGGUAGAAAGACUUUUUUUUUUUUCAGAAAGCGUGCUUUUGAAAUAAUCUUUGACUCAAACUUCUUGUAGGAUGCUCUGAUGUUAAUGCAUAUUUUCCCUCUUCUGGAAAGUUAAGUAUAUUGCUGUCAUCAGCAUUAGAAACGUAUUGCCACUCAGCUUUGUGUUUGUUCUGCAGGAGUUGUUUACAUGCUGCUGUAUUUAAAGACCCACGUGCAACUGCUACGUGCUGUAAAGAGAUACUUUAUAUUAGGAUGCUUUUCUUCCCAAACUAGUGUCUGCUUUCUCUCCUGUGGCAUUCAAACCCUCUUGAAUGAGGUUUCUGAGGUGCCAAAAAUAUUUGCUCACUGCAUAACUGUUACAUCCAGAAGUGAAUCCCCACCCCAGAGGAACAAUCCUGCAUCUGUCGUGCCCUUCUGCUGGCAGCCCACACUCCUUCACCAGAUAACUGGGUUGUCCAUCUGCUUGCCCACUUCCCACUUGUGCUUCAGGGUCAUCCUGACCUGCAGUAGGAGCCUCAUUCACAUGCUGGCACACCUCCACACACUGUCCUUUGUGGCUCCCACAAGGUCUGUGCAUCCCAUCAUAUUCCCCACCAGUGAUUGAUCACUGGCACUCUGUGCAGCAGCGCAGUCUCAUGCUGAGGUCCUUGACACCAUGGCCAUCUGGGAUGAGCCGUGCUCACCAACGAAUCAAAGGCAGAUGAUCAAACUUUAUGCUCAUCUACAUUAACUCAAGAUUUUUUUUUUUCUUUUAAAUGUAGUACUCAUUUUUUGCAGUCUACAGAACAAUAUAGAAUGUUUUUACAUGAUUUAUGUUGUUCAUGGCUCCUUCCCUCUGUCAGAGGGGGAAUUUCCCCUGCACAUCAGCAUUUUAGUUUUUCUAAUGCACUUUUCAGCAGAAUUCUUCCCCACUUGAAACCAUGUCUCAGAUAUCUUCUCCAAAGGAAAAUAUGAAGCAGUUGUUAGAAACAUAUCUGGAGGGGGUAGCUUAAAACACUGAUCCAGCUGUCUGCAGACAGAAAGUCCUACAAUAAAUGUUUAAUCCAAAAAGCACAGUUCACUCACAAUGUCCACGCAAUGCUUCCCAUCACUCCAGAAGAAAAUUAAAUACCGUAUGAAGUUCCAAAGUUAGCAGUGAUGUUCAAAUACCAGCCCACAACUUCUGUCACCACUUUAUACUGCCUUCUAAAUGUCAAUUCUACCACAAGCAUAGGGAAGCAAAUGUUAGGUAAGUAGCCUCUAUUUGACCUUGUAUUUUCAAAGUCUUUCCCAAAGCUAAAUCCCUGUCCUUCCUUUGGUCAAGUUGCAAAUAUAGAAAGAAGAGUAAUGUAAAAAUCAUUUUAAUGUAGAGCUUAGUGGGAGGAACUAUGGGCAUAUUAUUGUUGGCCUGAUGCCAAUGCUGUUGAAUUACUGCUUUCUUUCCCUUAUGGAGGCUGAGACCUUGUAGCAGCAAUGGGGAGAGCGCUCAUAUUAAGGAACUGUCUAACUGAUUGCCACAGGAAGAAAAUAGAGCUCAACACUACUUUAUCUUCAGAGAACUUAUCCAGAGAGAAGAAGGGGAGAUAAAGAUGAGGCAAGAUGAGAUUUAGAUGGAUAGUUUUGAGAAAGAGAAUAGAUGACCUAAUAGAUGCUGUAAGUUAUAGCAAUUGAGUUAAUGUGUAUACAACCAAUGUGAUGCAAAUGCUUUGAGGUGACCCCAGCCCAAAAUUCCAGUUAGAGGAGCAGAGGAGCAGGACGCUGUGGGAUAUCUGACCUGAAUGCAUGAAGCCUUUUUUCAAACAUGUGGAAAUACUUUGCGGGCUGCAAAGCAGCGAGGCAAAGAUAUUUUGAUCAUGGAAUGACAAUGCAGUGAGCAUGCACGCCUCAUGCAACAGCUGUAAAUCAUUUAGCAUGACACAGAAACCCCAUACAAUAUAGAGGAGCAGUACAAGUCUUCCAGCUACAGUUACCCUCAAGCUGCAUUUAGGUCCUUACCUUCGGUGUUUUGUAAAAUUGCACUAUGAGUAUUCCUUGGAGUACAAAGCUGUGUCUCAAAAUGAAUUUCAGCUUCAGAAGUUCCCACCACCUUGCUGGAGAGUUCAAGCUGCUCUGAUUUCAUUGGGUCUGCAAAUUCUAUGUUUCAUUUUCCUGGAAAUUUGACGUCGUUGACUUGAGAGGGGAGGCUCCAGGAAAGUUGAUUUACUUUGUUUUUUUUCUUUCCCUUCAAACAUGCUGAGAACUACAAUGCUUAAAUCCUCAUCAAUUAAACACACCAAUUUACAGUUAUUUGAUAAUGGCUGGGGUAUAUGGACCAAGAUAAAUUAGCAUUCAGAAGUGUAGAGAGGAAUCUGUAUUAGAUGCCAGAUAAACAUUUCUCUCAUGAGGAAAGAAAGUAGGGUGCUCAUGGUGAAAGCAGCUUACUUGGCUUUAAAAGAGGAGUUAGUCAGCUUCCCUCUGCUACUUAGUACAGGCUCACUAGGAAAUAGUGUUCAGUGUCUAAGACACUGCAAACCAAUACACUAUUUUGGAACAUGGAGCUUCCCAACAGCUCCAGCCACUGGCGUUUAUACUUGACUCCAAUAUGUAUUUUAUCACAGUACUUUUGUUUCUGCUAAUGUAGUUUAUGAAAUGCAUUUUUUCAUCUGUAUCCAAAUAAAAAUGAUUAAAUUCAAAAAUGAUUCUUCAAAAGAAGGUGCUUUCUGAAGUAGACUUUGCUGAAAAACACAACUUUUCUCAGAACAGAGUAACCCCUCAAAAGGUACAAUUCAGCAUGAGCCAAAGACAAAUGUGGCCCUAGUAAGCCACACUAAUUAAUAAAUAAAUUCACCAAAAUCAUUAUGAAAGUUAAGUCUAAUUCUAAGUAAGUAAAUAAGAACUGUCUUCAUUAUAUCACAACUUUCUUACUUUGUUCUUACUUUCUCAGAAAUCCUUACAAUUACCUAGAAACCAUAGAUGCAGAGAGAAGAAUAGCCAGGCAUCUAUGGUAAAGAUCAGAUUAUUUAAACCUUUUCCAAGAAUGGUUUAGAAAUAAUUGAUUCUCCUUCGAGACCUGGGAAUGGAAAAGAGGCCAUCUCAAGCUCUCUUUCAUCUUAUUAUCUUGUUUAUCAUAUUAUCCUGUAGUCAGUUCAGAUGUAGCUCAAAAGAAAGCAGACUCUGUCAGGAUUUACUUCUCUUUUUCUACUCUCAGCUUAAACAAAAGCAGAUUACCCUACGAUGCUUUAAUUUUACUCUAAAAGAGACAUUAUAUAGGGGCAUGUCGUGAUCAGAUGAUUCUGAUGGAUAAGUACUGUUUGAUUUUCACAGCCUAUACCUCACAACCCUAUAUCACACAACCUUAUCUUGCUGCUGACCAAAAAGAAUCAGCAUCUCAAUAUGAGAGUUCAUUCUCCUCUGCCUGCAGAUGGACUCAAAUAUGUGCUUCUCAGUUCCCAUCCAGAGUUUCUUCUGAGUUCAGCACAACCCCAUAAGAGUCAGAAGGUCCCGAGUCAUGCUUUGUACAAAGAAGGGAGUUGCUGGGUGGCAGAAAUAGGCAAAUUACAUGAAUGAAUAGCGAGACGAUUUUAUGUUGUUGAAUAUGAUUUUUCUUCUUGCUCAAAAAUUGUGCAAGGAGAACAGGAUGAGGAGAGGAGAUUAAAAACUGCAGUCUAUUCCAUUGCUGAUGGAAUCUGGACCUGGGUUAGAUGCCCUGGAAAAAAAAUGACAAAUAUAAAAUCAUUAUCCUUUUGCUGAGGUUUUACACUUUGUUGUUGUUGUUGUUGUAAUGUAUUGCUCAUGGAAGCAAACAUGAGUAACUUCUCAGUCUGUCCUCCUGGGGACAGAUAUGGCAGUGGAAAUGAAGGAAAGUUCUAAUGAUGCCUGUAAAUCUGUAAAGAAACCCAAACCACAAAUCCCCAAACUACAUUUAUAACAGAAUGAAAAUAUGAUAUAUAGAUAACAUUUCCUCUGCUUUUGACUUCUUUGCUUUCCUUUAGCACCUCUCAUCUCAUCAACGUCAGGCUUGUCUGCAAGCACCUCAGCCCAGGUGCUCUGCUCUCUCUUGCAGAGUAUCUGCACCUUCUGGAGGGCCUGCCCUCCAUUCCAGGGUGCUCCUCAGGGGUUUUCUGCCACUCUGAAGCAUUUCCACCUAUGAACCUUUAAUUCAGCUGCAAUUAAAUCAGCAUAACGUGGUGUGCCUCUUCUUGUCAUGGCUCCUUUGUUGCGCAACAUGAAGGUUUCAGAAAAAAGAAGUAUCUAAAUUUAUCUACUUUAUAAAUUUCAUAUUGUAAUAAAAAGAUAACUAGGUAAUGGCAUUAGGAAAAUCAAACACACGUACAAAAUACCAAGCUACAAAUAAAAGUAAAAAUAAAAAUAAAACGUGCAAAUUUCCAACACUUCUAAACAGUUUUACCUUUAUUUAUAACACCUGGGGUAAAAAUUUUGAGAUACACUGUGCCAGCUAGGAUUCACUGGUAUAGAGAAAUAGGAGUGCUCAGGCAGGUACCUGCCUGCUACUUCUGCUUGGGGAUGUGUUGCUGUGUUGGCAUCUGUUCCUGCAGUGCUCACAAAGAGCUGCUUUGGAUGCCCUUUGCAAGGUGAUAUCAGGUGGCAGAUAUAUAUGUACACAUAUAUAAGUGUUUUUGGUGUUUUCAAGAAGAAGAGCAGUCCCUAACCUCUAGCAGCCCCAGGGCAGAACUUUUCCUCAGGCCUCCCAGCUAUGAGUUACCCCAUUCCUAACUGUGGAUGUUGUCUCAUCUGUCUCCAUUGGACACUUUGGCAGGAGUCUGGCUGAGUCUACAGAGCUUCCUGACACAUAUGGGUUCAGCAAGGCUUUAUUUGUUCAGGCUUAGGCUGCUUCUCCUCUACACUUCCCACAGAGCAGUGUCUGCCUCUUCCAAACACUGGGUCCCUUUUCCAAACUUCUUUCUUGCCCAAGAGAAGUUACUGGCAUCUCUUAGGAGCAAACAGGUGCUGUCCUGAAAUCUCACCCUCGUCAGGCCUUCAUGGAUGGUUCUGCCCAACCCAAGCAUCUUUCCUCUGUCUUAUGGCUCACAUGUCUUCUUCUCAAGGCCAUUUUUUCUUCUCACUGAAUUAUUACACUGCUGCCAGGUGUCUUAAUGUUGUUUUGCUAACAAUAAAGUUUAACUUUUUUUCCACUAUAUGAGAGUAACUAUUUCAGCAGCCAUUUCAGUAUAAUCAUUGUUAUAGGAGGCUUGAUGCUCCACACUAGGGGAACAUGCAGUAGAUAAAGUACAAGAGGCUUUGCUGCCUAUGAAACAAACUUCAGGAAAUUUCUGUGUCUAUGCUUUUAGCCUGUUCAAAUGAACAUUAAUGCAAUUUAGCCUCUUUCUCUGAAGUUUAGAUUAAGCCCUGCUACAUCACAAAUGAAACGAACUAAGACUGAUAUAGACAUUUAUGAGCAGCUAUGAUUACCUCCAAUGACUGACACUUGUUUUACCUCCUUAACUCAAUUUUCUGUUCGAACUCUUCAAAUAGGAAGGGAGUGUAACAUUUACCUGUAUCUCUAUAGAUAGCUUAAUACAAUUUCAUUUAAUAGACGAGAUCUGGCAGACUACUGAGUUCAUUUCAGCAGGUAAUAUGCAAAUUGACAGGGGUCCAAUAUCCUCUGAUAUAAACGGUUUGCAGUUGAACAUAUAUUUUCCCAUUGAAGCAGCUCUGGCUUUGCUACUGAUUGUGUGGUUAUAUGGCUUUGGAAGGUGUUCUAUUUGUUUUGUUGACUUUGGCAAAUGUUAAUCUAAUUGCUUGUCCAUGUGACGAAAUAUUUCCAUGAACCAGUUUUCCUUCUUUAGACUUUGAGAUGCAUGCUCUCAUUCAGAGAUACGGGAUUUAAAAAUGCUUGUUGAGUAUUGAUUAUGAAUUCUUGUAGUCCACUUUGAUCAGUUCUGAUGUUUGUCUUUUAUACUACUGAAAUCCAGACAGAAAACCAAAC